GGAGACGUAGCCAAGUGGUAAGGCAGCGGUCUGCAAAAUCGCUAUUCGGCAGUUCGAAUCUGCCCGUCUCCUCCA
rnacentral:tRNA from 1 species